rnacentral:tRNA from 1 species
GCAUGGUUUAAUGGUUUGAGUGUUAGACUAUGACUCUGGAGACCUGGGUUCCAUUCCCAGCUCAGCC